UACGGAGGGAGCUAGCGUUGUUCGGAAUUACUGGGCGUAAAGCGCGCGUAGGCGGCUUUGUAAGUUAGAGGUGAAAGCCCGGGGCUCAACCCCGGAACUGCCUUUAAGACUGCAUCGCUUGAAUCCGGGAGAGGUGAGUGGAAUUCCGAGUGUAGAGGUGAAAUUCGUAGAUAUUCGGAAGAACACCAGUGGCGAAGGCGGCUCACUGGACCGGUAUUGACGCUGAGUGAGCGAAAGCCAGGGGAGCAAACGGG
rnacentral:rRNA from 1 species